rnacentral:rRNA from 1 species
AGGCCAGAGACGCAAGCGUUAAUCAUCUUGAUCAGGCGUAAAGGGUUUGUAGGCAGCUUAAAUUCAUUUAAGAUUGAAUCAUAUUGAGGUCAAGAGAAUUCUUAGUGUAGGGUUGGUAUCUGUAAAUACUAAGGAGAAUUCUAAUUAGCGAAGGCACUUUUCCAAUUAAUGAUUGACGCUGAGAAACGAAGGGGAGGAUAGACAAUAGGAUUUGAUACCCUGGCAUCCCUCCCUGUAAACGAUGAAUGGUAGUUGCUAGUAAAUAAUUAUUAGUGACGAUGCUAACGCGUUAACCAUUCCGCCUUGUGAGUACGACUGCAAAGUUGAAAACAAAAAAAUUAGUCGGUUUCGGAGCAA